rnacentral:rRNA from 1 species
UAACCUGCCUGGUAGCGGGGGAUAACUAUUGGAAACGAUAGCUAAUACCGCAUAACAGUAGAUAUCGCAUGAUAGCUGCUUAAAAGGUGCAAUUGCACCACUACCAGAUGGGCCUGCGUUGUAUUAGCUAGUUGGUGAGGUAACGGCUCACCAAGGCAACGAUACAUAGCCGACCUGAGAGGGUGAUCGGCCACACUGGGACUGAGACACGGCCCAG